CCUGGCGGGUGGCGUGGGCUGCGGUCUCCUCCCGUUUCUUCCCGCCUCCCCGAGCUUUUAAAGGCCUGAAGUGGGUUCUGUCUUCUCAGGCCGGGAGUUUCCUACUCUGGGGGCUCUUCUCGCAGAACUCACCCACGCCAACUCCCCUCAGCCGCUGGUGGAAAAGGAGACUGAGGUGCUGUAAAAGGAAGUGAUUUUCGAAGGACACACUGGUGAUGAGAGGAGUCAGCAGAAUGGAGUGCUCAGGGCAGAGGAACCGAAGUUAGGAUUUCCCACUCAGAGUGUCCUUGGAUGAUCUAAGUCACAACCCUUCUCUGCUCUUCAGUUUUCUUACCUGUGAAGUGAGAGGAUUCAACAAAAUUAUACCUAAGUUCUCUUCAAAUGCUUCACAAUUGUGAAGCACAACUGUGCUUCACAAGCUAGUUGUGAAGUCACAAGCUAGUUGUGACAAAUCGAGGAAUAAAACAAAGGUCUGAGGACAUCUCAUUCCCAGAACUUUCUUAAUGCUCUAUUUCAUGUAUUCUAAGACACACAUUCUUAUUUAACAUUUAGCAUCACAGAAAUCAGGGCACGCCUUACAAUCGAUGAUGUCAGAUAACAAGGCUCCAGCAAUGCAUAGUUGCAUUGCCUGCCUGGAGGUACUUGGUUAUUAUUCCUGGACAGAAUGACUGGACAACCACAGUCAUUGACGUUUUAAUCAACAAACCACCUACGGUCCUUUGGAGGAUCAAAUAUGAGUUCCAGUUGUUGUCUGGAAACCUUCUAUUUGUACCUUCUAGUAGAAUAUGAAAAUAGCACCAGCAUCAAAAUUGGCAAAUUGGUACUGGUGGCUUGACAGAAACUUCCAAGACAGCAGAGUAGCACUCUUUUAAGAAAUGCUGCAUUCCCCAACUCUCUUGGUGGCUUAGUUGACAAUAUUGUGUGGAAAAACAUAUCAACAGCUGAGAGGAAAGUGCUUCAGAAGAGACGAACCAUUCUGAAUGUGAAGUCUUACGAAUACCUUAACCACUGUAUUUUGCUUAAAUUUUCCUUUUUACAUGUACACAAGAGCAAUAUGUGAUUGACAUUGAAGCAGCCUAAAUGUCCAUCAGCAGAUGAGGGGAUAAAGAAGAUGUGGUAUGUAUAUACAAUGGAAUACUACUUAGCCAUAAAAACGAGUGACAUAACGCCAUUUACAGCAACGUGGAAGGACCUAGAGAUUAUCUAAGUGAAGUAAGUCAGAAAGAGAAAGACAAAUAUCGUAUGACAUCACUUAUAAGUGGAAUCUAAAGCAUGACACAAGUGAACUUAUCUACAAAACAGAAACAGACUCACAGACCUAGAGAACAGACUUGCGGUUGCUGAGGGGGAGCGGAGGAGGGACGGAUUGGGAGUUUAGGAUUAACAGAUGCAAACUAUUAUAUAUAGAAUGGAUAAACAGCAAGAUUCAACUGUAUAGCACAGUGAACUAUCUUCAAUAUCCUGUGAUAAACCAUAAUGGAAAAGAAUAUGAAAAAGAAUAUAUAUAUAUAUAUAUAC